CCAGAGAGCUGCCCAGAGUGAAGCUUGUGGUAUAGAGGGACAGCUGCUGAUUAUCAAGCUUAUGGAGUGACUGGAAGAAAGUGGGAGGAGCCUGGAAGGAGUGGUGGAGGUACAGUACUUGGAGAAAAUCCCUCCACCAUGACGACUGGGUGUCUGCUGUACAGUCCACCGACCAAUGGUGAGAGAGAGAGAGAGCGAGAGAGAGAGAGAGAUUAUUAUUAUAGUUUAUUGACAGAAUUUUGCGAUUACAAGAAGCUUAAAGUAAAAAUCAUUUCACUAAAAGAGAGAGAGAGAGAGAGUCUUGAUAGAGAGUCUUGAUAGAGAGAGAGAGAGAGAGAGAGAGAGAGAGAGAGAGAGAGAGAGAGUCUUGAUAGAUAAUAUUGAGCACAGUCUUCACCGCUGGGUCGACUGUGGGGGCUGCGCUACUCCGGUUGGUGGCCGGUUGGUGGCCGUGGCUGUUCACGCACUAGCUCUUGCUGUGGCUGGCAUGCUGUUCUGUCCUCUCUUGUUCCAGGAAUUGCUGUCUGAGGUGUGUGUGUGUGUGUGUAGAAGCCACCAUCAUCAACCACAGCAGGUGAUAAUGAUGUUUCCUGCUUUCAUCCUCAUUGGGGCUAGCCAGACCAACUUGGGGCUGUACUGGGGUGACGCUGUGUGCCUCAGGUGUAUCUGGAGGGCUGAGAUAGUGAGAAGAUUACCUUGUUGUUGAUGUGCAGUCUUACUAUGUGGGCGAUGAACACCUCUGGGACAUGACGAGCAGAUGCCCAUCCAGCACAGCUGGAUGGGCAUCUGUGUAAGUAGCUGUGUAGCUGGCAUGAACGUUGCAGUCUUCAUGAUGUACUAGUGGGACAAACAAGAAGUGAUGGUGUUGAGCCACUGUAAUAGGGAUGUUUAUGGUUUAAGGAUAGGAAGUCACUGUCAAGAUCAUCUGCAAGUUCAAAUGGUCACCUAACAAUUGCAUCUUAGUAGAAAAACACAAAGAGGAAGUUUAUGCAAGUUUUUAUCCUUAUAUGAAAAUGUUGCUAGUGUUAACAUAUAAAAUUGUAUUGCAUCAAAGCCCCAUACAUUACUGUCUCUAUCCAGUAUGAGACCGGUGUUCAGGAUAACAAGAAGCCGGCAUUGCUCAAGCUGGACCACAUUUCAUCCAUUUAUACAUACUUUUUAUUAUUAAAGCUUAUCUUGUAAUUAUUGCUGAAGACAUUGACUCAUUUAUUUAUUUAUUUAUGACUUAGAACUAUGAUAAAGCUAUGGAUUGAUAUAAUUCCUGAUUUGUUUCCAUUCUUGUCUCCGCUUGUCCAUCCCUGAGUGGUCAGAAGCGGUGCUCCACUGAUGAUGUGGAAGCCUGAGACAGCCAAUCAUUUAAUGGGCUAGGUUACCUUUUGUCACCAUUCUUCUGUGUGUCACUCACUACGUUUGGAAAUGUUUACCUGUUCUAUUUAAUUUGUUGGUUAUAAUAAUGUUUAUGGUCAAUAAACUAUUUAUAAAACUAUUUAUCUGUGUCAGUAUGAUAAAAGCAGUUAUUGUUGUUGUUGUUAUUGUUAUUAUUAUUAGUAUUAUUAUUAUUAUUAUCAUUAUUAUUAUUAUUACACAUUUUCCUCCUUGUAUUUAAAUAUUAUUAUUAUUAUUAUUAUUAUUAUUAUUAUUAUUAUUAUUAUUAUUAUUAUUAUUAUUAUUAUUAUUAUUACACAUUUUCCUCCUUGUAUUUAAAUAUUAUUAUUAUUAUUAUUAUUAUUAUUAUUAUUAUCAUGGAUUUUUCUUGUAUAUAAAUAAAAUAUUGUAACUGAU